UAACAAAGAAGUAAAAGUACAUUUAAUUUCGACUUAAAAUUAAGGAAUAAAUAAUCCUCAUGUUUU
rnacentral:tRNA from 1 species